GACGAACGCUGGCGGCGUGCUUAACACAUGCAAGUCGAACGGAAAGGCCCUGCUUUUGUGGGGUGCUCGAGUGGCAAACGUGUGUGUAACACGGGAGUAACCUGCCCUUGACUUUGGGAUACCUUCAGGAAACUGGGGCUAAUACCGGAUAGGCGCUCCUGCUGCAUGGUGGGGGUUGGAAAGUUUGGGCGGUUGGGGUUGGACGCCCGGCUUAUCAGCUUGUUGGUGGGGAAGUGGCUUACCAAGGCGUUGACGGGUAGCCGGCCUGGGAGGGGGACCGGCCACAUUGGGACUGAGAUACGGCCCAGACUCCUACGGGAGGCAGCAGUGGGGAAUAUGGCACAAUGGGCGGAAGCCUGAUGCAGCAACGCCGGGUGCGGGAUGACGGCCUUGGGGUGGUAAACCGCUUUCGCCGGUGACGAAGCGUGAGUGACGGUAAUGGGUAAAGAAGCACCGGCUAACUACGUG
rnacentral:rRNA from 1 species